rnacentral:rRNA from 1 species
UACAGAGGUCCCGAGCGUUGUUCGGAUUCAUUGGGCGUAAAGGGUGCGUAGGCGGUCUGCUAAGUUUGAUGUGAAAUCCCGGGGCUCAACCCUGGAAUGGCAUUGAAUACUGGCGGACUAGAGUACCGGAGAGGAAACUGGAAUUUACGGUGUAGCGGUGGAAUGCGUAGAGAUCGGGAAGAACAUCAGUGGCGAAGGCGGUCUGCUGGGCCGUUGCUGACGCUGAGGCGCGACAGCGUGGGGAGCAAACAGG